UCAUGCUCUGUGUCAGGAGCUUUAAGGGACAAGAGAGAUAAAUAAUGUCAUGGUGCUUGUCUUCAAGGAAGUUAUAAUAUGGAACGGGUGAUUAUAUAAAUUAAUUGUGGGCAAUGGAUGAAUGGAAGUACGAAGCAAAUUCAUGGGAGUUUUAGAGAAGGUAGGACUACAGUUUGGCAAGGAGACUGGAGAAGUCUUUGCAGAGAGGUGGUUUGAUCUGGGCCUUAAAGGAUGGCUAGGAUUGGAGUGGUCAGAUGUAAGAGGAAAGGACAGUAGUGCCUUGUGGAGAGAUUCUUUGGCCAAUGGGGGAUGCGCUCUGAUAGACAAACAUUCCUCCUUUCUCACCCCAGACAGUCCCGACUCACAUGUCAUCGGGCUUCUCAGGUGGUCCAUGGGAUCAAGUAUCUCCAGCAAUUAAAAAAAAUCGCUAGAGCAAAGGUCUGGCAACAGGAGAGUAUCAGGCCUAUUCCGCUCAUCGAAAGCCAGCGAAUCACAGUCAGGAGCAAGGGAAGUGAGAAUAGGGAGACCAUUUUUGGUGGACUUUGUUUCAGACUUUGAUUCUGCUACCUUCUUGGACAUUAUUACUUAAACUCUAUGAGCCUCAGUCUCCUUAUUAUAAAGUGGGGAGAGUAAUACUUCAUCGAAAGUUUACUAUGAGAAUUCAAUGAGAUGAUAUAUGUGGACGGGACACUUGAAGAUGGAGGAAGGGGAGGCUGAACAACUAUCUAUACGCCAACUCUCCCAACUUUCCAGAACGACUGUGGCUAAUACAAGGGUUUGGCGUAGUCAGCCUCUGUUCUAACACCUUUCUCUCUUGCCUGCCUCUGCUAUUGAAAUCAGAAACCUAAAAUACUCAACUCACGGAGUCCUCAGCUACCGUUGCCUCUGGGGCUCCAGAAAUGGUUUAAGUCUUAUUGGUCAUUUAUCCUUGAUUUAAAACUGAGUCACAUGGAGAGAGGAUUGUGAGGCUUUGUUUGGGAAUUGAGUUCGGUGAGGAGCCAGAGGUGAAUUCUGGGCAUGUAUAUUGCUGGCAUGGGUCUCAGCGGAAUUGACCUAGUCUGGGAGCUAACAGUGUAGAUGUGGUUUCCUGACUGACUUGCUUCCUAGUUAUGGCAGAUGUGUCGUGACUCAGAGUUGAUGCUUAUGGCAUUGGCUUCCUGUUGGAUAAGGUGGCCUUUUAAUUCAGCCACUUUCUGAUUGUGGAAGAGGCAGCAGCCCCCUUGAUGGCUCAAUUCUCUGGUGAUUCUUCGAGUUCAGCUAGAGUCCAUUCAGCCCUCCCAAUGAUUCAAGAACUAUCUGUAUGUCUUAAGAAACUCUGCUGUUUAAACGCGAUGGAAUGGGCGCCAUUGUCUGUACGUGAACAUGAACCCUCGAUGACAUACCAGUGACUAAGUCUGGCCAAGACAAGGCCCCCAGGACCUCUUGCUGAGCGGGGCACUGUGACAAAAGCAAAGGAGUUGUGGAUGGAGAGAAAUGUGGGCUCUUGACGGCACAUUCAAAUAAUAUCCAGUCUAAGAGUGAAAAUCUACACCUCCCUCGCCAGUGUUUCCUGAAGAAAUUAGGCUGGCCUCCUCCGGCGGCCACGCCAACGUCCAC